CCAGAGCGGCCGAGCAAACCUGACAAGUGGAGUCAGGUUUGUUAGGUUAGACCUCUUACCCACAGAUGUGCUAUCAUUGGUGAUUUGGUGACAGCUCUUAGCCAAAGAAAAACCUCCAGCAUAACAAAGAAGAAGACAGAGAAAAUUUGGAGCAGGCUACAGUGAAAGAGUGCAGCUCCAGGCUCCACUCCCCCAGAAACAUCCAUGCGAGCCAGGCUCUCGAGUUCGAAUGGAACCCCCCUAUUGA